CACGAUAUCUUCAGCUCUCUGAGUUAACACACAGUUUCCCAGCUGACUAAUCUAACUGUCAUCUACGAAUAUGUCACGGGUCAUAUUACAGUUUUUCUCAAAUGCUAAAACACAUUUCACAAACGUUCCCACCAUGUUCCCCAAUUUCUAAACACAACACCCUUUUCUAAAGCUACAUAAACACAACCACACCUUCCCACUGCAAAACUCAAACUUUCACACCAAAAGAGCAGCUCGAAGCUUUCAAAAAUGUAAACACUAUACACAUCAUUACACACUACAGCAAAACAACUGAAAACACAAUGCUCAAUUUGUGAGAAGGUUCUUUGUUUCAUAACUGCCAAUGCAUAUUUCUAGAAACCAUACAGUAACGGAUCGUCGUAGAUCUCUGCAGAGGAUUAGGCAUUUAGACUUGUGAGUUCCAUAUGAAGAGUAUCAAUCUAUCGAAAAUCCUGCAUGUACGUACACUACUGUAACACAACUCAAUGCAAAAACAGAAUCUAUUGCACACAACAGUACUCUUGAAAACAUGAUCAGGGUGUGAAGUUUUUUUAUUUACUUUAUUCACACCACACACACACCACAAUCACUGUGCGGCAUCAUGUCUCUGAGCUGCAUCGGGCCACAUCACCUCAUCCACAUCGCAGGCUAUAUUGUCUCUUGCCAGGCACCACGGGAAAAACACCCUGGAAUGGCGAAUCCGUCCUUGGAAGGCCUCCGCUGGGAUGUCAACACAGAAUUGCUAGACGACCAGAUGCUGGGAGCAGAGGAAGAAUGUUCACUGCAGACCAGGAAACCCAUAUAGUCAAUAUGGUGAUUGCAAAUAACUCCAUAAGGCUACGUGAAAUUCAGCAGCGCAUAACUGAGGAUGACACCACCUUCCAAAACAUACAAAAUGUGAGCAUUUCUGUAUUAGGUUGUGUACUUGCCCGCAACAGAAUCCGAAUGAAACAAAGUGCAUACUGUAGUGCUGUGCAUGUGCCUGCUGUGCUGAAUUUGUUUAGACUUGUCUAGAGAGUGAUGGAGCUAGAGGCAGAUGGGUCAUGAGCAGUUUGUUGUGGAUGAGGCUGGUUUUCACCUCACUAAGACAAGGAGACGUGGCAGGAACAUUAUUGGACACCGUGCCAUCAUCAAUGUCCCAGGACAACGUGGUGGUAACAUAACUAUGUGUGCAGCUAUAAGUCAAAAUGGUGUUGUUCACCAUCAUGCAACCCUGAGCCCAUAUAACACUGCACACAUUAUUACAUUCCUGGACACUUUACAUGACAUGCUCACUAAUGUUCAAAGACCAGAGCAGACCAGAUACAUCAUCAUAUGGGACAAUAUGACAAUAUGAAUAGGACUGUCAGUGCGCCCCAGGGUGGCUGUGGCUACAAUUUAGCUUGCCAUCACCAGUGUGUGAAUGUGUGUGAAUGUGUGUGUGAAUGGGUGGAUGACUGGAUAUGUAAAGCGCUUUGGGGUCCUUAGGGACUAGUAAAGCGCUAUAUAAAUACAGGUCAUUUUACCAUUUACCACAAUGUUAGUUUCCAUAGGGCUGCUUUGGUCCGCAACUGGUUUACAGAUCACCCACUCUUCACUGUACUCAACCUCCCCCCAUACUCUCCAUUCUUGAAUCCAAUUGAAGAGUUCUUCUCUGCCUGGCGCUGGAAGGUCUAUGACCGUCAUCCCCAUCAGUGCAUAGCCCUUUUACAGGCAAUGGAGGAGGCAUGUGGGGAUACUGACCAGGCAUCAUGUCAGACCUGGAUACGCCAUUCCAGGAGAUAUUUUCCCCGGUGCCUUGGACUAGAGGACAUUACAUGUGAUGUA